AAUUUUGAACAAAUUGUUUGAUAAGAAUCACAAGUUAACACAUCAAAUGCUGAUGAUAAAAGGAAGUGACCACAAUACACUUACACGUGAACUCGUACUGACCGCAAGAUCAUUGACCAAUAAGAAAGAUGAAAUCCAAUCAUGCAUUGGUCAUAAGUGAAAUUUCUCUGCACGUGAAAACAUGUUAUCUAAUUUCAACAAUUU
rnacentral:lncRNA from 1 species